CAAAUUAUAAUUUUAUAAAAAUUAUUUUAUUUACAAUAAAAUGUAAGUUGUGUAAUUCAGCUUAAUUUGA
rnacentral:tRNA from 1 species